AAAGUCGUAACAAGGUCUCCGUUGGUGAACCAGCGGAGGGAUCAUUAUAGAGUUAAUAACUCAUAACCCCUGUGAACUUUACCUUUAUUUCGUUGCUUCGGCGGUUCCUAACGGCCCAUCCCGCCAAGGGGGGGCACGCCAAGUGAGCCGCCGGAGGUCACAAACUCUGAAUUUUUAGUGUAUCUCUGAGCCUAAAAACAAAUAAUCAAAACUUUCAACAACGGAUCUCUUGGUUCUG
rnacentral:misc_RNA from 1 species